CACCACUAGCAGUUGAAGCUGCCAGCAUGAUCUAAACUUCCUUUUCUUUAUAAUCUGCAUCAAAAGGAAAGAUCAGAUCAUGUGGUAGCUUCACCUGUUGAUGGG
rnacentral:pre_miRNA from 1 species